rnacentral:rRNA from 1 species
UCAAGCUACUAAGGGCAUACGGUGGAUGCCUAGGCGCCAGGAGCCGAAGAAGGACGCGGUAAGCUGCGAAAAGCCACGGGGAACUGCAAGCGAGUAUUGAUCCGUGGAUAUCCGAAUGGGGAAACCCGGCCAUCGUAAUGGAUGGUCAUCCGCAAGGAAGGGAACCCGGGGAACUGAAACAUCUAAGUACCCGGAGGAAAAGAAAUCAAACGAGAUGCCCACAGUAGCGGCGAGCGAAGAGGGCAGAGCCCAAACCUGUAAGCUACGGCUUAUGGGGGUUGAGGACUGACGUAAUUAAGGCCAGGCUUAGCUGAACUACCUGGGAAGGUAGGCGAUAGAAGGUAAGAGCCCUGUAAGCGAAAGGCAGAGCCUUAAGGUCAGUAUCCAGAGUACCACGGAGCACGAGGAAUUCUGUGGGAAGCAGGGGGGACCACCCUCCAAGGCUAAAGACUAACUGGCGACCGAUAGCGCAUAGUACCGUGAGGGAAAGGUGAAAAGAACCCCGGGAGGGGAGUGAAAUAGUACCUGAAACCGUAUGUCUACAAGCAGUCGGAGCGAAAGCGACGGCGUGCCUAUUGAAGAAUGAACCAACGAGUUAUCUGCACUAGCGAGGUUAAGUGGAAGACACGGAGCCGUAGCGAAAGCGAGUCUGAAAAGGGCGACGAGUUAGUGUAGGUAGACCCGAAACCGCAGUGAUCUACCCAUGUCCAGGUUGAAGCGCAGGUAAAAAUGCGUGGAGGACCGAACCGGUGAGCGUUGAAAAGCUUUCGGAUGAGAUGUGGGUAGGGGUGAAAUUCCAAUCGAACGCGGAGAUAGCUGGUUCUCCCCGAAAUAGCUUUAGGGCUAGCCUCAGGUAGUAAGUAUAGGCGGUAGAGCACUGAUCGGGCUAGGGGCCAUAAAGGUUACCGAACCCUGUCAAACUCCGAAUGGAUAUACUGCAGAGCCUGGGAGUCAGACUACGAGUGAUAAGAUCCGUGGUCAAAAGGGAAACAGCCCAGACCACCGGCUAAGGUCCCAAAUGCCGUACUAAGUGGAAAAGGAUGUGGGGAUUCAUAAACAACCAGGAUGUUGGCUCAGAAGCAGCCACCAUUUAAAGAGUGCGUAAUAGCUCACUGGUCGAGAGUCCCUGCGCCGAAAAUUUCCGGGGCUAAAGUACGGAACCGAAGCCGUGGCUGUGUACUUAGGUGCACGGGGUAGGGGAGCGUUGCCACAGGGGUGAAGCUGGUCUGGAAGGACUGGUGGACUUGUGGGAAGUGAGAAUGUUGGUAUGAGUAGCGAAAAGAAAGGUGAGAAUCCUUUCCACCGAAAGCAUAAGGAUUCCUGAGCAACGAUCGUCGUCUCAGGGUAAGUCGGGACCUAAUCCGAGGCAAAGAGCGUAGGAGAUGGACAACAGGUUGAUAUUCCUGUACCGGCAGUAAUUGUUUGAGCGAAGGAGUGACACAGAAGGGCAGGCAGGCGCGAGACUGGAUUGUCGCGUGCAAGCGUGUAGGGUAGUGUACAGGCAAAUCCGUACACUGAGAGCCUGAGGCGUUACGCGGAGCGAGCAGAGAUGCGAGCGAAGCUGCUGAUCCCACACUGUCGAGAAAAGCUUCUAGUGAGAGAGCUGCCGCCCGUACCGUAAACCGACACAGGUAUGCGGGGAGAGAAUCCUAAGGUGCGCGGGAGAACCCUCGUUAAGGAACUCGGCAAAAUGUACCCGUAACUUCGGGAUAAGGGUAGCCGUCUUGGUGAAGGAGCUUGCCUCUGGAGCUGAAGGCGGUCGCAGAGAAGAGGCCCAAGCGACUGUUUACCACAAACACAGGUGCCUGCUAAAGCGAAAGCUGACGUAUAGGUGCUGACACCUGCCCAGUGCUGGAAGGUUAAGGAAGGAUGUCCGGGCAACCAAAGCAUUCGACCGAAGCCCCAGUGAACGGCGGCCGUAACUAUAACGGUCCUAAGGUAGCGAAAUUCCUUGUCGGGUAAGUUCCGACCCGCACGAAAGGUGUAACGAUUUGGGCACUGUCUCAACGAGGGACCCGGUGAAAUUGAAAUACCUGUGAAGAUGCAGGUUACCCGCGACUGGACAGAAAGACCCCAUGGAGCUUUACUGUAACCUGACAUUGGGUUUUGUUGUAUUACGUACAGGAUAGGUGGGAGGCUUGGAAGGCUGGACGCUAGUCUGGCUGGAGCCGGCGUUGGGAUACCACCCUUGAUACAACGGAAUUCUAACCGAGAGAGUAACGAAAUCCGGGACAGUGUCAGGCGGGCAGUUUGACUGGGGCGGUCGCCUCCGAAAGAGUAACGGAGGCG